AUACACACACCUUCCCACCUAUUAGCUGUAGCUAUUAUAUACACACAUACAUGUGUGUUUGUGUAUUCACCUAUUCUCCCAGUAAGUACCCUGACAUUAUACUUUAUAUUCACUGGCUCCAUUUAGAAGACCUGGGUGAGCAAUACAGAAUAUGCCAUUGAAAGCUGUGGUAUGGAAAGAUUACAGGACACCUGGAGGUCACUAAGGGUAGGAUUUCCUUGGAGGUAGCAUGAGGUGGGAAGAGGAACAGGUGCAGGGUGCAGCUGGGAAUAGACCAGAGAUGAGCUCACUUAGACUGCGGUGAUGAAAUUGUCUGGUAGCCUCUUACUUUAGCUCAUUGUUUUUUUCUUUAAAACUUUUUUUUUAACAUUUGCUUUUAUAAUGUUGAGUUCCAGAUUCUUCCCCUUCUCCUCCCCCCAUUAAGAAAGCACAUGUAAAAUUAUUCACUCAUUGUUUUUGCUACCCAAAUGCUAAAUUCAAAUGUUUCAAAGUAGGUACUAUUGGAACCCUCUAAAUAUAGAUGCCUUGAGACAAAGACCUAGCUACCCCACCCUAGUUACGAAUCUUCCUAUAAAUUUUGAAAAGGUGACCUGGAUUCAGAGGUUUUCAGAGUUCUAUAAACAAUCAGUGAUAAAUUUAGGGGGACAGCUAAAUGGAGGCAAGAUGAGAAACUUGUGGAGGGGAUUGCAGAGAAAGAAUUCAGAUUCUAUUUCAGGAGAAUGGAAGCCUCCUGAGGGAAAGAAUGGUUAUGGUUUAAUUUAGAUAUCCAUCUUCAUUGCCUAGAACAGUGCCUGUGCCAUAGUGGGGCUUACUACAUGUUUCUUGAUUUUUUUUAAGAGAAGAAAAGAAGAUUUUAAUUGGAAAAGAAUAGCUGAGUGUUGAUUCAUAGGGGAGUCAGACUGGUAGAGUGAGCUAACAAUUAAAGAAUAAGCCAAGAUGAUUAGAUUAGAGAAGCAUCUGGGGCCAGGCAGGGCUCUCUUCAAGAUUCCAGGUCUAACUAUCUGUGUUCAACCAGUCUGGACAUCAUCCCAAAAUACACAGAUAAGGAAGCUCACUCUCCCCAUCUCUAUGGAUAUAUUGACCCCUUUUCUGACACAGGAGUAAGGGAGAAGUCACCCCUUGAAGUUUCUGGCUUCUUUCUAGGCUAUGUUUAAGCAUCACUGCUUAUUAAUAAGUAGAAGUUAGGUUUUGCAAAAUUAGGACAAAGAGAAGCUGUGGUUUGUAGAGGGCUGACCAUAGAGUUGGGAAUGCAGUUCCAUAACAUGUAUCCAAGAGAUCAUAGCUUUAGUUAUCGUUGAGUUGCUUCCAUUUGGGGUUUUCUCGGCAAAGAUACUGGAGGGGUUUGCCAUUUCUUCCCCCAAGUCAUUUGACAGAUGAGGAAACUGAGAUAAAUAGGGUAAAGUGACUUACCCAGGGUCACACAGCUAUUAAGUCAGAUUUGAACUCAGGAAAAAGUCUGGAACUCUAGCUGCCUUUUUGAACUAGAAAGGACCUUAGAAAUUACUUAAUCCAACCUUUCAUUUAAAAAUGUGAAAUUAUGUGCCAUGUGUUGUGUGAAGGUUCUACAAAUGAAAAGGCAAAAAUGAAGCAAUCCCUAUGCUCAAGGGGCUUCUGUCCCACUUGAGAAAACAACUUAUGCACAGAGAAAUAAACACAAAAUAAUGUGAGGGGGAGGGUAUCAGUAACUACCAGAAGAGGCCCUUGUAGGGAAAAGCUGAACUUUAAAGGAAGCUAGUGGCUCUGAGAGAUGGAGGGUGGCAGGAAGAAGACCUAGGAGCAAAGUUAUAUGAAAAGGGGCAAGUCAGAUAGUCAAUCAAUAAGCAUUUAUUAAAUCAUAUAAGCUCUAGGUGACCCUAGUUAACUAUCAAUUAUAAAGGACCUGUCUGUCUGAAUUGGUGGAGGGAGUUUCCAUGCUGGUUGUUUCCUAUUAUAGAAAAAGAAAAAUAAUGAAAUCAGAGGAAAGAUUCCAAAUUGGACUUUGCUCAUCUGAGUGAGUACAGGAGAAAGUAUUUAGCUUUUCAAAGAAGACAAAUGCAUCCAAAUGUUUGUUUAUUAAGUCCUAGACACUGAAAUAUCUAAUGUUUUCCACUUAACGACUUAGUCUGAAACUAUGAAUCUAUCCAAAACAAUAUGUUAGAGAAAGGCAGAAUGGCGUAGUAGUGGAUAAAGGGCAACCUUUGAAUCAGAAAUUCAGCGGGUAUCUCCCUCUCUCUCCCCUUUCCUUUUCUUUUUCUCCUCUUCUCUCUUUUAUUUUCUUCCCAUCUUUCUUAGUUUGUCUCUUCUCUCUCUCCUUUCCUCCAUUCUAUCUCUUUAUAUAGAUACAUAUGUAUAUAGACAUAAUAUAAUCAGAGAUCAUCUAAGAAAUUACAGAAAGUUAUGAUUUGAGUCCUGAGCAAAGAAGUCCCAGUCUCUUGACUACUGAAGUAAGUUAUAUUCUGAGGAGUCACCUCUAUAUGCAAUGAUGCAGAAAUGGACAUGGCCUUUCAGUGGUCCCUAAUGGGGCUAUUCUCCAAGUGAGAAAAUAUAGGUAAAGCAAUAAAGCACUUUGCAAACCUUAAAAUGGUCUAUAAAUGCCAGUUAUUAUUCUAAGCCUCAAUAUAAACGUGUAGACACACAUAACUACAAAAUCAGAUUGGGAGGUGAUGUUGCUGACUCCUAGCUUUCCUGUUGUCCCUUUAAUGUGGUAUGUGUUCCUUCCUCCCAAUGACCCUUCUCUUACUUCUCAAGGGCUCUUUAACAUAAUGUAUUUUAAAGAUUUAGAUUUCUUGAAAACUAACCGAGAUAAGAAAAGAUGGAAAUGCUCAAUGCUAGAAAGAGACACACUGAAACAUUAUUGGUAGAGUUGAAGUAAUCUAAUCAUUCUGGGCCCUAAUUAGAAAUUAUUCUAAGAAAGUGACCAAAGUGACCAUACUCUGUGAUCCAGAGAAAUACAGCAAGGGGGUUAAACACAGAAAGAAAAUAUUUAUGGAAAUGCUUUUUUUGUGGUUGUAGCCAAGAAUUGGAAACAAAUCAAUAUCCACCAGCUGGAGAUGACUAAAUACAUAAAGGAAUAUACCUGAAUAAAGAGCAAUAUUUCUCUUCCAUGAAGAUCACAGAGAAAUGGAGGUAAGACAUUUGCCAUCUUUUGUAAAGUGAAGAGAGUAGAACUAGGAAAACAAUAUACAAACUGACUACAACAAUGAUCCUGGGAACAAUAUAAAUAGUAAAACUAACUGGGACACUCCAGUUGUAAUGACCAGUUCCAAGCCUAGAAAAGACAUGAGAAAAAUGUCUGCCCCCUUCUUUGCAAAUUCCAUAGAAUUUCCAUAAACAUUAUUUCAUCAGACUGUGAGAGUGGAGCUUUGUAUAGCACUAUCAGACUCCACUAUUGUAUUGAUAUUUUGCUGGAUUGCUUUUCCCCCUUUUAUCUUAUACUUUGUUACCAGAGAAGGUAGCAUAUAUAUGUGUGUAUAUAUACAUUUAUAUAUAUGUGCAUGUAUAUAAUAUACAUUUUACACAGAUAUGUGCAUUUAUACAUAUCUAUGUACUGUGUACAUGUAGAACAUAAGUACCUAAAUGAAAGUGACAACAUUCUCCCAAUCAUCAAUUUUUGUUUAAAUCCGUCAAAAAUACAAAUGCCUUUUUGAGAAUUUGGAAUGGUUGGGAACAAUUAAGGUUUAUAUGCAUUUGUCUGCACUAUUCCAAAUUCAUUGAAUAUUUAUACAACUCAAUAGAAAUAGUUCUUAGGGAGGUUUGCCUUGGUAAUCCCAGAAUUUAGUUCAAUACCUGAUAUCUGAUAGGUGCUUAAUGAACAAAUAUAUGAUAUUUUGAAUUGAAUAGAACUCUCUGCCCUUCCUUGACUGCAAUAGUCUCAGCCUAAAAAAGAACUCUCCCUUUGCUUUUGUUGAUACUUGUUCUUAUUUCUUAUCACCCUUUGAUCUUCUAGGCAAUUCCAUCUUUACCACUUCUACUUAAAACUUCUCUAAACACCUUACCACACACAGUGCCACAGAAUCUCCCCAUGGGGAUUUUUAAAUAUAAGUGCAUGAAUACACACACACACACACACACACACCCUUAUUUCUCUAUCUGGGUCAAAAUUUAUUUCAAUUUGUUUUGUUCUUUUCUUUGUGACAACUUUGUUAUUGUUUACUAAAAUCCUGUACCUCCAUCUUAUUUCGACCCCCUCCACCACCAUCACUAUUUCCAUUCUCACAAAAAAUUGUCCCCUAUCCCUAAUUAUUAUUCAUGGUUUUAAGCUUAUCCACAUUGGCCCAUUAAACUGUAUAAAUGCAGAACCUAAUUCUGCUUUUUUUGGUAGAAUGGAUUAAAUUCAAUCUUUGCUCUGAAUGAUAGAAGACCUACUUAACAUUAAUUCCAUAUGUAAUUUCAGGGAAACCUGGGAACUGAUACAAAUUGAAAUGAGCAGAAUUAGGAGAAUAUUUUAUACAUGAACAACAGUUAUAAAAAUAAACAAUUGAAGAUUUAAGAACUUUUAUCAAUACAGACCUCAACCAUAAUUCCAAAUGACUUAUAAUGAAGCAUGAUGCUACUCAUCUUCUGACAAAGAAAUGGUGGACUCAUGGUACAGAAUGAAUGAAGGCUGAUUUCCAGAGUAAGAGAGUGUGAAGAUUUCUUUCUUUUAAAAAUAUAUAUAUAUAUAUUUACUAUAAAAAUUGUGGUUUUGUUUUUAAUGGAAGUAGGUAGGUGAAAGGUGAAUGGAAGAAUUAAUCAAAGUGAAUUAAAUUAAAAUCCAUGUCCCUGAUAUUUGGAUUUCUCUAAAUUCUGCUCUAUUUAGAAUAGCCUCUCUAUUAAGCUAAGGAAGGUUUACAGAAUACUGAAAUUCCAAGCGAGCAGUCAAGAAACAUUUAUUAAGCACCUCUAUAUUCCAAGUUCUGUGUUAAUACCAACUAAUUGUUGAGCAGAUACAAAAUCAGAAGAGACCAUAUAGUCUAACCCAUAUCUGAAUAAGAAUCCAGUUUCCAAAAUAUCCAAGAAGGGCUCCUUCAGCGUUGGCUUAAAGACUUCAAGUAAACAGAAGCCCAAAGGCUCCUGAGGCAACCUACUCCAUUACUUUUAGAAAGUUUUCCUUCCACUAAAGCUGCAAUUUCCACCCACUAUUCCUAGAUCUUCCCUAUUGGAGAUAAGCAGACCAAGUCCCAUCCAUCUUCAUUGUGAUAUCCCUGCAAGACAACUCUCAUGUUCUAGUCCUCCAAGUCUAUUCUUUUCCACGCUAAACAUGACCGGUUCCCUCAACUGAUCCUUAUAGGCUAUGAUCUCAAAGCUCUUUCAUGCUGGUCAUCGUCCCUUGGAUGCCAUCCAGUUUAAACAUGUCUUCUCUAAAAUGUGGGAAUAAAAGGUAAACACAACAUUCAAGAUGAGGUCUACCCAAGGCAAAGAAUCAUAGAACAAUCACCUUGCAAGACUUGAAUGUUUUUAAAUUGAAGGUUUCUGUUUUGCCAUCCAGCUUAUAAGAUUAGAACUUUUCCCUCACCCUCUUAACGAGUUUAUAUACAUGUACAUGUAUAUAAACAUAUAUACACAUAUGAAAAAUAUAUGUAUAUGUGUGCAUAUAUAUGAGACACACAAAUGUGCUACGAACUAUGUGAUCUAAAGAAUAUCUUUGAUCACCAUUGUUAUCGCCAUCUUCCAUGGCAUGGACAAAUGGCAUUGACAAAUGACAGCAAUGACUUGGGGCUCCGGGCGUUUGUUUUAGGGUAUUCUGUUGGGUGUGAAGUGGUGAAUGGGGGAAUGAAAUGGUGAUUAUUCUAACAAUAAUGCUUUGUACUUCUAUAGACCAUUUCAUUCAAGAAUCCCCAAGGGCUUUGGAAACAUUAAUUAAUCAAUUAGUUAAUGAGUGUAGGUCCUUCUUGGUGGCCAGAUGGUUGCAGAUUUUGUUUCCAGUUUGGUCCAAGGCUGCAGGUCUGCCUGACAGGCACAGCAUCCAGAUGGAAAGAGGGGAAAUCUGUCAAUCAUCCAGAUGUUGACAAACAUCUUAAUGUUCUGGCAUGGCAUGUCAUUAGCAUCAGACAUCAAUCUUUCCCAAGAGCAAACAGAUCCUGCUUGUUUCUUGAGUCCAGUUGAGAGUGGGGAGAUUAAAAAGGCAGAGAAGGGAGAUUUUUUUUCUAUUGAACAAGGCUCUCCUUGUGGUGUUUAUGGAAUGGUAAGUGAUGAACUAUGAAGUGACAACCACCUUCAGGUCUUAAUUAAAUCACUCCUUAACUCUCUAUUAGCCAUUAUGAAUUUUCUGAAGGUGAAAAGAUUUCUCUACAUAGUCCCAAGAGGAACAUAUAGGCAUCUAUAGUAAGGGAUCUAUCAAGGCUUGAUUCUGAUUAUAUAUAAUGGGGAAUCCUAACUUUGGGAAGGUGAAAAAUGGGUGUGGCACGUGACUAGAGAGGAGAGUCAGAGAAAUCAAAGAUUUUUGUGACACUCUUUUUCAUUCAUAAUUAAAAUUAUUAUUGUUUCCAAAAUCUUUUUGCAAAUAUCAGGGGAACAUCUGAAAACUAUUAGGGUCAUCUUGGCGGUAUGACCCAAUCAGUUUGGGAAAUUGUAUUGUGUAAUGGAAAGAAUUUCAAUGUUAGAAUCAGAGAACGUGGAUUCAAAUCCUAUCUUUGAUAUCUUACUACCUGUGUGAGAUAACAUUUUGCCUCAGUUUUUUCAUCUAUAGAAUGAGGUCUUGAAGGUCCCUUCCAGUUGUACUUCUAACAUCCUUUAUUCACAGUGAUUUUCCCAAGCAUUUGAAUCUGUAUCACUUAUUGCUCUUCUCUAGACCUUAAAGAACUUCAGAGUUAACAGGGUUGUCCUAUUUCUACCCUAAUAAAAAUCUUCCCCAUCAUAUACAUAAAAGAAUGUGCACUAGAACUUCCAACCCUGACAUCUCCCAAGUCAAUCUUUUUAAAUUGUGGAUGGCUCCAACUGUUAGGAAGAUUCUGAUGAUUGUGUUCAUUGGAUCAAGUUUAAUAAGGUUCCACCAGAUCUUUUUCAUUCCAAAUGAGUUUUCUCUUUCAUGAAAGUCCUAUCAAAGCAAAUCCAUUCUAUCCAUGCCAGAAAAGAGAAGUCUUAAAUGCACCCCCUAAUGCAAGAAAGCACCAUAAACCUGUUGAAUGACAAAUGUUGUCUUUGUUCUCAAAAAAAAAAAAAAAAAAAAAAAAAAAAAAAAAAAAAAGAGAAGUGCAUAGAGUCUGCUUGACCUUGAUUCUUGGCAAAAUCAGAGCAUGGAUAUUUCCUCAUCGGGAAAGUGAGAAUGUCAGACUGAAAGGUCAUGGAGGUCCUUUAGUCUCCAAAGUUAGUGAUUCUAUAAUAAGCACCAUGUCCCUCAUUAAUUUUUGUGUGAGCUGAUAGGGAUAAAGGAGAUUCUAUAUGGAGAUUCUGGGGAAACCCAUUCUGCCUCCAUCACAAGGAUCCAGUCCUGACUUUAGGAUGUGGGGGAAGGAAUCAUUGAAUCUGGGUUGGAAGGGACCACUUUCCAUGAGCUAUGCAGUCCAAUCUGUCCUUGUAUAAGCAAGGAGUCUGAGAAUUUAUCAGCUAAAAACCUUCAGUAGAUGGGAAGCUCCUUGAGGGCAAGGACUAUUUUUGUUUUAUUUUUGUAGCCUGAACUCUUAGCACAGUGCAAGAUCUUUUGAUAGAUACUUGUAGAAUGAACUGGCUUAUGAACACUCUUAAAUUUUUAAGAAGAUUUUCCUAACAUCAAGUUCAAAUGACUUUGCAGGGCUAGAAUAACUACAUCCUUUACAACAAUACCUUGGGAGCACUGGGAGGUAUGUUGGUUUUUAAUGUUAUGGAUCUUAUUGCCUUGCCUACUGGACAAAGAAGGAAAGACUGAUUUUGUUUUGAGUUCUGUUUGGUGCUUCGAACAAUGACUGGCAUAUAGAAAGCAUUUAAUAAAUGCUUAUUGACUGCUUAAUUAAACAACAACAAAUACCCUUCAGGAACCAUAGAACCUUCAGGUCCACGGAAUUAGAAUAUUUGAUCUGGUAGAAACUAAAGAGUUCAUUAAUCCAUCUCAUUUUCAACUUUUCCAAGGUCACAUAGGCACAUUUCUUUUAUGAGUCCAAAAUUUCAACAAGUCUUUGCAUACCCAGUACCUUGUAUAGUAUCCACUAUGUAAAAAGUAUUUAAUCAAUAUUGUUAUAUUUACUUAAAUUAAAUCUAAGCUAUAAUUUGCUCAAAUCACCUAAUAUGGAGAAUCAGCAGUUGAUUUUUUUUCCAAGUCAACUCAAUUUUAACCACUUUAAGAGCACCUGAGAAUAACAAAAAUAACCAUUGACAUUUCUCUAGGAUCAUAGAUCCUGGAGAUCAUAAAGGCUAGAUAAUAAGGCUAGAAUUAAACAGAACCUUAAACAUCUGCUUGGUCAAUCCACCUUAUUUUACAGAGGAGGAACUGGUGAGCAAGGGAAUUUGCUCAAAUUCCUGCAAAGGAAAAAUAUGAAGCCAGGACUCAAUAUGACAUGCUUCCAUAGCAUAUGGUUUAUCAAGCAUCAUUUCAUUAGAGCUUUACAACAAUUCUUUGAGGAAUAUACUAGAGGUAUCAUUAUUCUUAUUUCCCAGAUAGAUAAAGCAAGGCUCAGAGAUCCUUCUUGGGACUUAUGGAGGGGUACGGAUCAGGGGAAGCUUCUGAGCUCCAGUUUUCCUCAUUUCAACUGUAGUGUUCUAUUCACUCUAUCAUCCUGUCUCUCUGAAACUAAUCCAGAAAAGAGUCUCAAGCCACUCUUGCAAAAGUUCCAAUUCUUUUCCCCACCCCCACCCCCUGGAGUUUGGAAAUCCUGCAUUGGGCAACUCCCUACAAGAGGCAAAGGCAAAGGCUGUAUUUAAUAAUGGGCAACAGGUUUGCCAAAGGCAGGCCUGGGAACUACUGGAGCCUAGAAGAGCUGGCUCCAACAUCUUAAAGGAAUAAGUGAGAGCUUAAAACAGGGAAAACACAAUUCUUCCUUUCAGGGAUCUGCGUUUGGUUUCUAUUUCACGUUUACUGAUCCUCGCGAUGUGCAUGCGUUUUCAGAAUUUAAAAACAUUUGAGAAACGAUAAAUAAUAAAUAGGACUUUGGAGACUAAAGGACUACCAAACUAUAAGGGAAAGAAUCACCAUGAUCUUUUAAGGUUUUUGGCAAAACCAUAGCCCGGAUAUGAAUUAAAAGGAGCAAGAGAAAAUAGCCGGUAGAAUGAUUGAUCCUGCAUGAAACACAUUUUCAUCCAUUCAGCAGAGACAUGGGGGAUUACUGGUAUGACAUGGUAUAUACACAGCCAGAUGCAGUUGCAUUGUAGAUCUGUUUUGGUUAACUAUUUUUGCUUUGUGAUAAAAGAGAUUGGGGGAAGGAGGAGGGACAUGUAUUAGGAAAUACAGGAAGGACUCCAGUUCUUUUGGGUGCAGUUCUUUUGGCUCCCCAUGGAGAAAUUGUUUGAAGAGAUGUUCAAGAGUCUCAAAGGAUGGGCCAAUAUGAACAAGUUAAGAGAUGAAUCAUUGCAGGGAAUAUCGAAAAGGAGGAGAUUGCUGAUCCAUUGGAAUACUGAACAUGUAUUGGGAAACUAUUGUUUUAAUAACAACAAACAACAAAAUAGCUUGAGACAAAUUCUAUAAAGGAGAGAAAUGUCAAUCAAAUAAUAGCAAAUGGCAAUACUAAUAGAGUGCCUUAAGCUUUGUGAAGUACUCAUUCCAUCCUCAUAAUACCUCUGUGAGACUAAAUAUAAGCACCUUUUCCCCCAUUUUAUAGAUAAGCAAAAUGAGGCUGAGGGUCAUGUGUCUUGCCUUUUGAUUUUGAAUCUCAGUUUCACCUGACUCCAAAGUCAUCAUUCUUUCUCAUUAAUCAGUAUGCCUCCUGAAUGAAUACUUCUCUCUUUAUCAUUAGCCCAGAGUGGUUCCGAUCUGUGUGGAAUUGCUCAGUUAUGAACACAGACAAAAUUUAACACCGUCUUCUCUCAAAUCAUCCUGAGUCCCUUGAAAAUAUCCUGAGUACUAUAAUCCUGCAAGGAAUGAUUGUACCUGCUUAUCCAUAACCCUGCCAGCAAUGACAUCACCUCAGAUAGAUUGUAAUUCUGAUAUACAAUCCCCAGUUCAGGAACUGAUCUCCAUCUAAGAGACGCCUGUGUUGUCAAGUUAGGGACAAUUCAAUCCAAUUCAAUUUUUAAAAAUAGUGAUAGAUAUCGAUAUUCGGCUUCUUCUGCUUGGCAAGAUUAUGAUUCCAUUAAAAUUGAGGUGAUUUUGGUUUGGUGGAGUAAUAAAAAGAGUGUAGAAUUUGGAGUCAGAGAAUUUGAGUGUCUUUCCUGGCCCUACCACUUAUCUGAGGUAUAAUCUUAAGUAAUUCACAAUCUCUCCAUGCCUCAGUUUCCUUAUCUAUGAAAUAAAUGGAAAUGAGUAGUUCUAGGAAUUUGCCCCAAGAAAAUCAAAGACAGAGAAAGGGCUCAAAGACACCAAAAUGUUCCUAUCAGUGCUUUAAUUGGAAAGUAGACACCACCAGUUGGAGAAAUAACUAAACAAAUUUCAAUAUGUGAAUAUAAGAAAAUACUUGGGAGCAACAAACAUGGAGUUUCUAAACAGAGUUUCAUAGACAACUUUAGGUAAAGUGUUACAAAAGAAAGAAAGCAAAAGCAGGAUAUAUAUAUAUAUAUAUAUAUAUAUAUACACACAAUUAUAUAUUCCACAACUACAAAAAUACAAAAGAAGAGGAAGAGGAUGACAACGACAACUAUCAAAUGAAUGUUGUGUAACUAUGAUGAUUCUGUUUGAUCUAGAAGAAGAGAUGAGAAAAUUCCCCUUUUCCCCUUCUGUGCAGAGGAGAGGAACUAUGGAUAUAGAUCAUUACUUCUACUGUUGGCUAAGUUGGUGAUUUUUCUAAAAUGUUUUUUAAAAAACAAUUAAAUUAUUUUGAGUUCUUUGCUACAAGGAAUAGUUGGUUGGGGAGCCAGUGGGGAAGAGUGAUAUUCAGAAAUAAAAGUGAUGUAAAAGCAAUUAUAAAAAUUUAAUAAAUAAAAAGGUCUUAUUGGGCUAAAUGGAUAAAGUGUAAGAUCCUCCCAGUUCUAAAUCUAUGACCAAAGAUUAUCUUUCAGUAAAAUGCCUCCAUCAAAGUCUAUUGACUACUCCUUGAUAGUGCAGGGAAUAAUGGCAGCUGACUCACAUGCCUGGAAAUGAAUCAACGUGGUACAGAACAUGGGAUUUAGAAUAGAGACAUGGGGUCUAUCACCCAUGGGAUCUCUCCCAUUGUAAAAUGAGAGAGGGGCAGACUAGGUGGCUCCUAAAGUUCCUUCCUGCACCUAAUCUUUGGUCAUAUGACUAUUGAACAAACAUCUCAAUUCCUUGAACUUCUGAUAGUUCAUCUCUUAAAUAUGAGAGGCGAACUGUGUGGCUUCCAAGGUUCCUUCCAGCUCAUUGAUUCUAUGCUCUCAAGAAGCAGGAUUCCCAACAAGGACCAUCCACUGUUCCCUGCCCGGUGAGCAGCUAAGAGGAAGCUCAUCCAAAGCUCAUCCUCAUGUCCAGUGCAAGACUUCUAAAUACUCUGGUAGCCAAUUAAACCCCAGAGAAAGGAAAACACUCCUAGGAGAACUCAAAACCGGCAAGUGUCUGAAGGAGGCCAAAGAAAUUCCACUUUUAGCUCCAGGAAGCAGUUUAUAGGCUCCGUGUCUUGUGCCAUACAAUAUAAGAUAAACAUCUGUUGUUAUUUCAGUAAACUGAACUCAGAUGUGAAGGUUUCUCCUCAGAGAGAUGAUAUUGAGAAUGGAAGCUCCCCCCAUCUUUUAAUUGGGGGUAAAGAUAUCCUAUGCUCAAAAGGCCAGUAAAGGAUUUUAGGAGGGAACUGGGUAAACACUAUUAAACAGAAUGACAGCAGGGAAGGUGACUGGGUGACAAUCACAGGUCCCUGACCCUAGUCCCCAGGCAGAAAGCUCUCACUUAGGAAGUCAAACAAAUACAGCUCCUGCCUGAAGAUGCUUUGUACCUCUGGUGUGACUGGAGAACAAAAAACAGUCAUAGGAGACAAUAUUUGAAACUCACAUGGCUAAGAGGAAGGAGUUCUCUCAUCUGUCUAGAUGGGUACAACUCUGGCACAGAUCUACCUAAAGGGGAAUUCUUUCUUUUUUUUUAAUUUUAUUUAUUUAUUUGUUUUUGCUGAGCCAAAUUGGGGUUAAGUGACUUGUCCAUGGUCACACAGCUAGGAAGUGUUAAGUGUUUGAGGCUAGAUUUGAACUCAGGUCCUCCUGACUCACCCAGCUAGGGUGUUCUUUGUAAAGGGACCUGCUGAUAUAGUUGAUAGAAUUCUGAACUGAAAAUGGGUAAGACCUGAGUUCAAAUCCCACAUCUGUUACAUAAUGCAGCUGCAUCUGAUCCAGUUUUGGGAGGCUGGAUGGGUCAUUUAGACUUUCUAAUCCUCAGUUUCAUCUGUCAAAUAAGGGCUUAAACUAGGGACCCUGUAGGUUCUCUUCCACUUUAUGUAUAGGGUCUAUAAAUUAAGGUUGGACUCUGUAACAGCUGAGAUCCUUUCCCACUUUAAAUCGAGGAUCCAAUGAUGAUAAUAGAUGGUGAGCCUUUCAAGAAUUAAGACUGUCUCUGUUUUACAUUUAUAUUCUCAGGUCCUGCAAUAGCAUCUAGCACAAGGUAGGUGUUUAAUCAUUCUUCAUGAUGGGUUGAUCGAUAGAUCCGUGAGAAAUUCUGCUUGGAUCUCAGCAACCUGGGCUGAAGGAGAGAGAAUAUUCCAGGGGAGAAAAUGUUCACUGGAGUUUUUGAAGAAAGUCUAGAAAAUGCAUCCGUGUGUGUGUGUUUGUGUGUGUACACACUAAAAUGACCCAUCUUUAGAGAGAUUGACUAGCAAGCUCUCAGACUAGUAAGUGCAUUCAGUAACAGAAGGAAAGUCUUGAAAACGUGCUUUAUCACUACUAACAAGCCUCCAGACUAGUUCGUCACUGCCCCGCUUCUGCUUUCUUCUGUUUUCCCACUCUCAAAUGCAUUCUCCAUAUAAGUACCAAAAUAAUGCAGUUUCCCAAAGCCUAAACCUGACCAUGACUCCUCCCCCUCCAGAACCUUCAAGAUUCCCUGUUGCUUCUAAGAUAAAAUAUAUAAACACUUUAAAGUCCUUCAUAAACUGGCUUCACUCCCUCAAUGCUCCAACCAGAACAGAUAUUUCUGCCUCCUUGAACACACUGUACUCUCUCAUCUCCCUGACUUUGACCAUUUAUCAGGAAUAUCCUCCCUCCACUAAUCUCCAUCUGUCUUACCUACUGAUCCUUUAAAGCCCAAUUCCUUAGUUUUAAAGCUGGAAGGGACCUUAGCGUCUUUUUGGUCCAAUUCUCUCAUAUUAAGGGGAGGACACUAGGGCCCAAAUGCCACUUCUCUGGGGAAUUUUGGUUUAUCCCCUGGGAAAGUAAUGGCUUUGCCCUUUGGGUAUCACUUAGAAUUUGCUUCUGAAACUAGCCAGGGCACAUAUCAUGUAUUAUUAGCAUUAUCUAUUUAUCUAUCCAUCUAUCUAUCUGUCACUGUCUAUCUAUCCAUCUGUCCAUUAACUGUCUGUCUUUCUAUCUGUCUGUCUCUGUCACACCAUCUGUCCAUCUAUCUGUCUGUCUCUGUCUGUCUUGCUUGUCUGUCUAUUUAUCUAUCUACUAUCUAUCUGUCUGUCUGUCUAUCUAGUCAGGAGGACCCGAGUUCAAAUUUGAUCUCAAACACUUACUAGUUAUAUGACAAGUUUCCUCAUCUGUAAACCAAGCUGGAGACAGAAAUAACAAACCACUUCAGUAUUUCUGCCAAGAAAAUCCCAAACAGGACUGGAAAUGACUAAAUAAAUUCAUUCUACCAAUGCAUAGCAACACCUAUUUUCUAAUUUAUAGUCUUGGUGGCUAGAGGUAGGUGACUUGCCCAGAUCACUCUGCUGACAAUUACACAAUUGUAUACUUUAGUUUUAAUGUGCUAAAAAUAGGAAUUCCUUUGAAUCCUUCUUUGCCUUACUUGAGUCCACCCUCAUCUAGUCAGAAAACACUAGGGCUGGUUGGGGAAAGGGCACACAUGAGAUUUUAGACUCAUUUAACAAGGCAGAACUUUCUUUAACCUUACUGACUCAGAAGUUGACUCUAAGUUUAUGACAUCAUUCUCCUCCUAAGUCUGACAUAUAGUAGGUGACGAAUAAAGUCUUGUUAAAUGAAUCUAAAAUUACACAAAGCCAAAAGGUAAAAUUUCCUUAUCCAUAACCCAAUGCAACCAUGAAAAAAAGAAUUUUGCAGGAUGUCCAAAGUUAUGCUCUCUCUUGUUUUUUUUUCCCUCUGUGCAAAUAAGUCUUAUUCCAUACACAAAACCUCAUAUAAAGAAAAAGUAUAUCCUACUCCAUAUGGAGAACCAAGAAAGAGGUAGACUUCAUUGUGAGAACAUGGACUCCAGAUGAUCUAGACCUAGAUUGUAAUCCCUGCUCGAUUUGACAGUGUUUGGGAUUUGGGGCAAGUUCUAACCAAACUCUAAACAAACUGAGAAGGGUAGAGCUGAUGAUUCUUCGUAGCUCUCAUGUUUUAUGUUCCAGAGCCCUCCUAGUUUUGACAGUCCCUAUUCUAAAAUUCCUUCCAUGUGCUUAUUCAGACGUAUAAUAUCCGUAGGUUUUUGAAUUUGUUUUACUUUGAGCAAGACAAUUCCCCACUUGGACUCUCAGUUUUCUCAUCUGUAAAAUAAAAUAGGGAUUAGACUAGAUGAUCUCUGAUUCCCUUUUUGAGCCUUAAGAUCACUAAUUUAUUUAUUUUUCUUUCAAAAAUAUUUUUAUUCAGAAUUUAAACACUCCAAAAAAUCAUGGCCAUAUACAGAACACAAAAAGAUAGUUGUAUAUGAAAAUGUGGAGCUUCAUGUUCUAUCACUUGCAUUUAAAAAAGAGAAUAGAAUACAUUUCAUACAUUACUUUUAUUAUUGUCCUGAUGGACACCUAGUUUCUAACAAAACACAAUUUUAUAAAUAAUUUCUUUUCUUUCUUUCCCUCUUACCUUUCAGAUCUUUCUCAAAAUCCUAGUCCCCAAAAUUAGGAAAGGAUAAGAAGAGGAUCAUUGAAACAAUUUUAUGCACAUUUAUGCAUUUAAUGCAUUGGAUGUAGAUUUUUCAAAAGCAAACUACAUGUAAUUGAACUUUAGGUGGAUUGUUUUUAUUCGGUUCAUUUGAUUAUUUUUUGGGGGAAAUGAUCAUGUUGCUUAGUGUUUGUUAAGUUCAGGAUAACCUAAUUUUAAAAAAAUUAAAAAGAAUAACGUACCUCCUACUCUUUGUUGGAAACAUUCGGACUGUGAAUGUGGAAUAUUGUAAAUGGCAUCAGACACAGUCAUUGUGUUGGCUGGCUUGACUGACCCAUCUUUGUUAAAAACAUAUUUAAUGCUUGUUACAAGGAAAGGCUCAAUAGGCACAGGAGAGGGAGGGAUUAUUAGGAAAUGGAGGUGAUGCUCAAAAGUAGUUGGGAGGAGACAGUAUCUAUACAGUUGAAAAUAAACCAAAAAUAACUUUAAAUUCAACUACUAAAUUGUAGCACCAAUGGAGGGAGGAAGGGAGAGGGAACCGUCUCUAGUCACAUGACGCCACAAAAUGAUGCUACAAGAAUAUGUAAAUUCCAUAGUAACAUUAAAAGUUUAAACAUCAUAGCCCCUCUCUAUGCUUCUGUUAUCUGGCAUAAAGAGGUGACAGAAAUAACAUGACAGAAAGAGAUGAGGAAAGAAGAGAAAGAGCAGGAUAAAAGCCAGAGGGCACUGAAGUCCCCCAGAGGGCUGGAACAAAACCCAACUUUAGGAGAAAUACUAGCUGGAUCUUUGCACAAUCAGAAAUGGCCAAAUGUAUUUUGAUGCUCUCAACUUGGAGAAAGGCUAGCUUGCAUUUAUAUAGUCUUGGGCUGCUCCCCAGAAAACUGGUGUGUUCAUGACCUGGAAUUUGAUUUCCAAAAUCUUCUCAAGGGUGAUUUAAAAAAAAUGAGUCCUGUCAUGGCAGAAUGUCAGUGAUACAUAUAUACACCAAGCAAUUGUUGGGGUCCAAUUCUCUGUGACCCCAUUUGGGGUUUUCUUAGCAGAGACACUGGAGUGGUUUGUUAUGGUUCUCCAGCUCAUUUUACAAUUGAGGAAACUGAGGCAAAUAAUUUCCCCAGGAUCACACAAUUACUAAGUGUCUGAGACUAGAUUCUAAUUCAGGUCUUCCAGGAAUCACGCUUGACACUAUCACUAUACCAUAUAGCAGCCCCAUACAUAUGUGCACACCUUAAACACACACACACACACACACACACACGCAAUUCUUGAUUUAUUUUGAAAUUUUUUUCUUUAUUAGAAACCAUCUACUUUAUUAAAAAUAAACUCCCAGUGUUUAAAAAAAAAACAACUAAAAGUGUAAAUUCCCUUUUAUUAUUGAGCUUAGGGGACAGAACCCAGGAACUCAAGUAAGAAAGAUCAGAUUCAAAUUCUGCCUCAGACAUAUAUAAACUGUUUGAUUCAACGUAAAUCCCUUACCCUCUCUGAAACCUCUGUUUUUUCUUUUGUAAAAUGGUAGUAAAAUGGUAGGUAAAAAAAUAGUAGCAACUAUCUCAGAGGGUUCUGGAAAAGUCACAUAUAAAUAAAUAUGAAAUAUUAUUAUUAGAAAUUAAGUUGUUUGGAAAGGACUAAGACCCUUAUCCUUUGGCCUUGCUUUAAGGUAACUUUCACCCAAUUUGAGAAGUAUUCUACCUUUAAGGAUCAUAGGAUCAGCCUAGAAAGGGCCCCCGCCUGCUUAUUCUGUUCUUCACUUCUCAACCAAACACCAGGAGAGAUGACAGAAUCUUGGCCAAGACGGAGAAAUGCUGAUAUCAUUUCAAACAUGAGAUUUCUUGUUGUUCUAGAAGGAUUGGUUAUCUUGCUGAGGGUCUUUUUUUUCAAUCAUAGAAAAUAGAAAGUAAGAAACUUGAUUUUAGAUGUUCAGCUUCCAAUGCCUCCAAAGCCCUUGAAUUUCAAUCCUUAUAACCUCAGAGUGCUAGAGACACCCGAAACACGUGGGUUCAACUUUUACCUUUGACCCGCGGUAGCUUUGUAACUCUGAACGAUUCACUUCAUCUCUGUCACCCUCCAUUUUCCCUCUGUAAAAUAGGUGUGAUAUAGCACCGACCUCACAAAGUUGUUGUAAGAAUGAGAUGAGAUAAAGGGUAUAAAGUACAUUUAUGAACUUUGAAGUACUAUUUAAAUGUACUUUGGUUAUUUUUAUUAUUGUAAAUAAUAUAAAAAUGUAUCUGCUAUUUAGAAUCCUCUAAUUUUGUCUAUGGUUUGGAGAUACACUGAGGAUUAAGCAUACAUAGCAAUAAUACUGUGUAUUUCAAACACACGUACUUUUUGACUGUUUGUAUAAAUGAUGUCCCAAAAAUAUAUGUAUAUAUGUACAUAUAUAUACACAGAUAUACAUAAAUAUACAUAUACACAUACUUCCAUAUAUAUACUUAUAUAUGUGUAUAUAUUUAUACAGACAUUCAUGAUGGUAUAGAUACUAAUGCUAUGAAAUCGCUGGUAUAGAUUUCCCAAUGAAAAACUACCUCUACCCAUGAAAUUGGACAUUUCUUUGCAAUUUAUGGUCAGACACCUAUAUAUACCUAUACAGUAUAGUAACUUGCCUAAGGUCACAUCGCCAAUAAAUGUCAUUAUGUGUCAGAAUUCGAGUCUUGGAUAUCAUGAUUCCAAGAUUAAUUUUUUUUUCUUCUGUAACAGUCUGACUUUUAUGAAUAUACAGUCAUAUAUACAUAUUUUUGAAGGAUACUACUACUACUACUAUUAGUAUUACUACUACUACUAUUUCUUUUUCUUCUCAUACUAUUACUAAUUCUACUAUUUCUUCUCCUUCUUCCACUACUACUAUUACUUCUUCUUCUACAACAACAACAACUACUACUACUACUAGUACUACUAUUACUACUACUCUACUACUACUUCCACUUUCUUCCAUUUCUUCUUCUCCUCUUCCUCCUCCUCCUUCUCCUUCCUCCUCCUCUUCUUCCUCUUACUACUACUAGUAGACAACAAUGAAGAUUACCUCUACUACAAUUACAACUACUACUAGCUAAUCAUUUAUAUAGCACCUACUCUAUGCUCAGUAAUUUACAAUUAUUACCUCAUUUGAUCUUCACAAUAACCUUGCAAAAUGAGUAUUAUUAUUUUCAUUUUAAAAUUGAAGAAACUGAGGUAAAGAUCAAAUGACACAGUAGAAAAUGUCUGAGGCUAAUACUCUCUCCACUAUCCUAUAAUAAAUAUAUGUGUGUGCACCACAAUAUUAUCAGCAUAUUAUAUAUACAUAUGGAAUACUCCCAUAUAGAACCCCAUAUAUCUAAUCUACCAUAGAGUCUCAGAAUAAGACACCAUAGGCUUUGUAGGGCCAUAGACUUGGAACUAGAAGGAACCACAAUUAUCUAGUUCAAUCCCCCAUCUGAUAGAUCACAGGAAUAGUAGGAUGGUGGUUCUAGAGAUGAAAAGGACCCAAGAGACCAUCAACU
ensembl:lncRNA